AUCACAUCCAAAGAAAUCAAGCGCCCACAUACAAUGACUUGCUCUGGAAAAAUGAGCAGCUGAGUUUCCAGGUAGAAUUUCUAAAGAUGGAAUUAAAACAGCUUAACAGACUUCAGGAGACUGUGGCUCUUCUACAGGACAGCCAGAGGUCUUUGCUGUCUACAAACAACUUCCUGAUGCAACAGUUGAAUAAAGAGAACAGUCCUGCUGUUCACAAAACACCUUUUCCUUCUGAAAGAUGCACCGCUCGUGGGAGAUCACCUCCUCUGGAAAGAACUGCUCCAGUACCCUCAGCGUACAGCUCUGGUCAGUACCGCAGUACAGAGCAGUUAUGCAACUGUCCUCUCUAAAGGGAACCAAACAGACUUUAAGAAUGGAUUAUGUUCAAUUUUGUAUUGACUGAAAUGUCAUGUGUGCAUUUAAAGAUG